UACGGAGGGUGCAAGCGUUAUCCGGAUUCACUGGGUUUAAAGGGUGCGUAGGCGGUCAGGUAAGUCAGAGGUGAAAUCUCCGGGCUUAACCCGGAAACUGCCUUUGAUACUAUCUGUCUUGAAUAUGGUGGAGGUAAGCGGAAUAUGUCAUGUAGCGGUGAAAUGCUUAGAGAUGACAUAGAACACCUAUUGCGAAGGCAGCUUACUACGCCUAUAUUGACGCUGAGGCACGAAAGCGUGGGGAUCAAACAGG
rnacentral:rRNA from 1 species